AUCCAGAAUAGAACUAUUCAUGAUGACCUCUGAGAAGUGCUUCUCCUCCUGAAGUCACUGACUGCUAGAUACUCCUAGCCUCUUCAAUGGGCUCUGCUAGACUAGUCCCUCUUCCUUGUACCAGUGCCCAGUGGAGCUCACGUGCUCCAUGAGGGUUGCUGGAAGGCUACAGAAGUUACUGGCAUCUGUAUAAAAAAUUCCUUGAUAUCUGAAACUUUUGACGUUUUUGGAAGAACUGAAUCUCGGGCAAACCAGCCAGCCUAAGAGUAAAAAUGCUUGGACUUUAGCUUCAGAUACAGAAGACAAUGCAUGCCCAGGUGGCCUAGUAAGUUCCCGGUAGCACAUCCUAAUUCAACUCUGCAAAAAAAAAAGCAAGAGAAGGCUAUCCAAUGGCAGCUCCAAGAAGAAAAAUAUAGCAGUGGGGGUAUUUUUCCUCAAGAAGAACACAGUACCAAGAACAUACCGGUAGUUAUAAUGGAGUAAUACUGCUGACAGCCAUGCCAUGCUCAGACCUGAAGACAACAGGCCUCCCCAGAGACAACAACAACAUAUUCAUGCUGAAUUGAAGCUAGUAUACCUCAAAACACAUUUAACAUCACAAUUAUUACCAAGAUUUACUAGACAGACAUAAAACUGAGCCUGAAUUUCUGAGUCACCAUAGUGACUUACACCAUAGUGUAAGUUCUUCCAGUGCACUAGGUUCAAAACAGUCUGAAAAUGAUGAUGCCCUCAGUGCAUGUAUCUCCCUUAUAGCAGACAAACCGUACAUUUGCUCCCACACAUGCAUACAGACAGGAAACUAAAUAUGCAAUUACCCAAUUUGCAAGUGUGACACAUGUGCACACAUCUGAGGACACACCCUAUCAAGCUCCAUCCUGUAUUUCCCCCACUUUAAUUCAGUUUCUUUCCUCCCACAGACACCCAUACUGCUUGCCAAAUAAAAUUCUGGAAAAAAACA
rnacentral:lncRNA from 1 species